AUAGUCCAGAGACUGUUUUAGUCUUUAUGGGCCACAUGGUCUCUGCCACAGCUCCUCAGCCCUGCCAUUGUAGUGUGAAAGCAGCCGGAGACGAUACAUAAACGGAAGGGCCAGUAAUUGCUUUGUGCCAGUAAAACUUGACAUGCAAAAUCAGGCAGCGGACUGGGUGGCAGGUCCUGGUUUGCUCACCCUUGCUCUGGUCUCUUCCUGGAGAGAUACAGAGGGAAGGCUCCCAUGUGAAGACUGAGGGAGGGAUGGGAGCUGUGCUGCCAUAAACCAGGGAGGCGUGGGACUUCCAGCAGCUGGAAGGGGCAAGGACACAUCCUUCCCCAGAGGCUUUGGAGGAAGCCUGGCCUUGCCAGCACCUUGAUUCCAGCACCUCGAUUUUGAACGUUAUAGCUUCCUGAACUGUGAGGCAGUAAAUUUGUUUUUUCUUCUUCUUCUUCUUUUUUUUUUUUUUUUUUUUUUUUUUUUUUUUUUUUUUUUUGUAUUUUUAGGGCCAGACCUGUGGCACUAGGAGGUUUUAAGGCUAGGAGUCAAAUUGGAGCUGUAGCCACCAGUCUACACCACAGCCAGCUACAGCAACGCCAGAUCCAAGCUGUGUCUGCAGCCUGCUCGUAGCAACACAGGAUCCUUAACCCACUGAGCGAGGCCAGGAAUCAAACCUGCGUCCUCAUGGAUACUAAUCAGAUUCGUUUGCAGUGAACCACAAGGGGAACACUGUAAAUUUCUUUUUUAAGCUAUCUGGCAGCCCUAUGAAACCACUACGUCGGCCAUUUUCCCUUUUCUGAUUGGAUUGUUUUAUGUGUGUGCAUGGGUGUGUUUGUGUGUUGUGUUUGGGUGGACGAGUCUUUGCAAAGGCAGGGAUGACUGUCUUAAUCUUUCAUGGCUACUUCAGUUCCUUUUUAAUUCAUGGGGAAAAUCCUCUCUUCCUAUGAGGAUUAGCAGAUUACCUUGCAUGUAUAUAUUGUUUAACCAAAGCUGUUCUCCUUGUUAAGAGACCAACCUCUUUACAUUUCUUUUUUUAAAACUUAUCCAUUAGCCUCGGAUACCAUUAUGAGUAAACAUAUGGUACAUAACAGCCUUUUACUUAACUGUGUUGUCUUUUGAGUGUCAACCAUUUAUUUUUCUUCUGGGUCCCAACUCAGUUGAUUUGGAGGGUUAUUACUGUGUGUUGGGUACAGAAGACAGCCCCUGCCUCCAGAGCACUCACUCCUAGUCUGCAGGGGACAUAGUCAAGUUCGCAGUGAUGGUGCACAGGGCAGAGCAGCCUUGGUUCUGUGGGAGGGGAGAGCCAGGCAUUGUGGGGUGCCCUGAGGAGGAGGUCAGGAAGGGCUCUGAAAGAUGGUGACUUAUAAGGUGGCUCUGUGGAAGGUUAGGAAUUUAGCAAAGUGCGCAUAUUAGGAUGGAGGUCUCUCAGGUGGCAGAAAGGGGGGAACUUAGUCUAGAAUGGAGUAAGCCAGAGUUACUGAGCCUUCAGAUGCUCUUACAGAGUAACUGCAGGAAGUGAGGGCUGCGUCACAGGGGCUCUGAUUGGGCAGCCAGGAGCCUUGGCCUCAGGCCGCAUGGAAGCCAGGAAUAGAGUUUUCACCAAAGAUGGCCUGAUCCGAGGUGUGUCUCAGAAAGGUGGAUAUGACAGUGCUGGAGGCACUGGAGACCAGGGCGCCAGACUGGAGGCUGUGGGAGUGGAGGGAGAUGAAUCCGCUCGUUCCCCCAUUACACCAUACUGUGGUCUAGACACCGUGCCAGGCAGUGAGGCCACCGAGAUGUGUAACUAGCAGCCUCUGAGCUUCAGACACUCAUGAAGGUCACUUCUCUUCAGGCCCCUUCGGCCAGAUGAAGCAUCUUUAUUGUUCUUCAUCUUCACAGCAACCCAAAGGCAAACAUGCUAUAAAUGUCCCCAUCUUACAGGUGAGAGCCCUCAGCACCAGAGAGAGGAAAUGUUGCACCCAAGGUCACACAGCUGGUCCCUGAUGGAGCUGUGCUGGCCUGCAGGGUCCUGAGCCUCCGAUGCUUGGCUCCACACAUUGACCAGUUCACUCAGGCCGCAGCGGGGUCUCUGUCUGGCAGCCGCAGGUGCAGGGUUAUAUGUGAGCACAUAGGAGAGCCCGCUACCCCAGGUGGGCAGGGUGGGUGGCACAGAAAAGGCUUCCUCAAGGAGGAAGUUCUGCUCUAAGUCUCUGAAGGCAAGUGAGAUGGUUUAGCCAGGUGGGGGCAGGGCAGGGGUGGGGAGUGGAGCACAGGGCUUCCCAGCACAGGGGAAGCACAGUCAAAAGCCCAGAGUGGGGAAGUCCUGUGGUUUUCGGUGUGUGCCGGGUCUCUCAAGGUCAGUGUGGCUGGCCUCUGAAAAGUAAAGCCAGACGUGGGCCUGGGAGACACUGGAAUGCUGGUGAGAUCAGGUCCUUGGGCUGCACUCCACCCCUUGGUUCCCAGAGACAUGAAGGGUGUCAGGCAGAGAGGUCCUGUGACCAAAUUUGUUCUCUGAUGGGUCCUAGAGGUCAAAUAGAAGAAGACCUAGAAAGUUAUUUUGUCAACUGCAUGUAAGGCCAGGUCGGGCAGAGGAGCUCUCAAGACAGCACUUGCAGGGCCCGAGCACUCCAAGCAGGGCUGUGACCCAGAAAGGUGUUGAGCUGGCUUUUGAGUCUGCAGUUCUACUUGAUCCAGCGUGUCAUUUAUCCAGCAGAUUUGACUGAAUCCUGAAUGUACCCAGGCGGGCUCUCUGCUAAGCAUUCUAGGAGGAAAGGACAUGGUCUCCGCCCUCACGGACUUGCUGGACUGCCCAGCAGAUAAUUCCAGGGCACUGGGAUGUGAGCAGCUGGUGGGGUGGGCAGGGUUCCCCGAGAGCAGGGUGGGAGCUGUACCGUAGCCGUUGAGCCCAUCUCCCCGCUCCCCUUGUCUCCUCCCCCACCCCAGGCUUCUAAGGCCACAGGUUUGCCUGGGUUUGAAUCCCAGCUCUGCUCUUUACUAGCUGUGUGACCUGGGGAAGGUUACCGAAUCUCCCUUUCCUCUGUUUUAAGAUGUGCACAAUAGGAGUUCCCGUCAUGGCGCAGUGGAAACGAAUCUGACUAGGAACCAUGAGGUUGCUGGUUCGAUAUCUGGCCUCGCUCAGUGGGUUAAGGAUCUGGCGUUGCCGUGAGCUGUGAUGUGGUUGAAGACGCAGCUCGGAUCCCGCGUUGCUUUGGCUCUGACUCUGAUUAGACCCCCUAGCCUGGGAA
rnacentral:lncRNA from 1 species